rnacentral:rRNA from 1 species
UAGAGUUUGAUCCUGGCUCAGAUUGAACGCUGGCGGUAUGCUUUACACAUGCAAGUCGAACGGAUUAAGAAGCUUGCUUCUUAGUUAGUGGCGAACGGGUGAGUAAUAUAUCGGAACAUAUCCGGAAGUGGGGGAUAACGUAGCGAAAGUUACGCUAAUACCGCAUAUGCCCUGAGGGGGAAAGGGGGGGAUCGCAAGACCUCUCGCUUUCGGAGUGGCCGAUAUCGGAUUAGCUAGUAGGUGAGGUAAAGGCUCACCUAGGCGACGAUCCGUAGCGGGUCUGAGAGGACGACCCGCCACACUGGAACUGAGACACGGUCCAGACUCCUACGGGAGGCAGCAGUGGGGAAUUUUGGACAAUGGGCGAAAGCCUGAUCCAGCCAUACCGCGUGAGUGAAGAAGGCCUUCGGGUUGUAAAGCUCUUUCAGCCGGAAAGAAAUCGUAUCUAUUAAUACUAGAUGCGGAUGACGGUACCGGAAGAAGAAGCACCGGCUAACUACGUGCCAGCAGCCGCGGUAA